rnacentral:lncRNA from 1 species
CAACUGUCAUGGCUGCUGUCAGUGAGGGCCCGUAAUGGAGAUCGAGUCAAGGGUUGCCCAGGGACACUUAAGAGCCUUCGGCUUCAAGGAGGCCUCUCAAAGGACAAAGGAUGAGACUGCCUGGCGGCAGAGUGCCCCCCACAAUCGUAGGAACUGUGUCGCCGCGCUUCCCGUUAACUUGCCGCUAAGUUUUUCUAGAAAAGUCGCCCUUCUUGCCAGGGGUGUCCUAUAGACUUUGUCAUGGAGUGAAACAGAAACAAAUCCUCGUGAAGUGCCAGCUCCCUCUUUGCCCUCCACCAUGACUGCAAGUUUCCUGAGGCCUCCCAGAAGUUUCUUGAGGCCUCCCCAGAAGCCAAGCAGAUGCCAGCAUCAUGCUUCCUGUACAGCCUGUAGAAUCAUGAGCCAAUUACACCUCUUUUAUUUAUAAAUUACCCAGUCUCAGGUAUUUCUUUAUAGUAAUGUGAGAAUGGACUAAUACAGACAGUGAGAAAAUUAGCCAUAGAGUACAUUAUAUGAGGGCUCACAUCCAGAAAUCAACACAUCAAUAAGAAAAAGCAGACAAUCCAAUAAGAAAAAAAUGGGUAAAAGUCUUAACCAAGCUUUCAUAAAAAAGGCUGUCCUAAUAACCAACAGACAUGAAAAGGUGUUCAGUUUCAUUAGUCAUUAGGGAAAUGCAGAUUAAAACUUCAAUGAAAUACAACUUAUGUACAUCAGAAUGGCUAUGAUUUAAAAGACAGAUAAUACCAAAUGUUGACAGGAAUAUAAAGCAGCUGAAACUCUCACACACUUCUUAGUUUGUGU